AAAUAGAAACAAAAGAGUAAAAGAUGAAUUUCAUCGUCACACAAACAGUAUUGGAUCGGUUUUCGAAAGUUAUGAAUAUCUGGGGGUUUCCUGUGGGAUUUCUCAUAUGACAUCAUUUUCUAAAUAUAAGAUAUGCUACUAUAUACAUGAUACAAUUUGCUUGUUUUUGAAAUCUGCUGGCACGUGUUCAAUGUAAAAAAAAGACAUGCUGUUUGAAUGAAUAGAGCCUGCAGGCUGAUCAUGGUCUGCACUGUUCGCUAUUCAGCCAGUAAAUUUUCACUGAACAUCCCUUUAAAUAAUAAAUGGUAUUGCCCAAAUUAAAUGAUGGACCAGUCCAUUUUAGAAAUUUAGCAGGAUAAAGGUUAUGUAUACCUCUUCAUUAUUAUUUAUUUGUGCUUUAUACAACGGUCGUUUUAAUUUACUAUCUGUUUUAGUUUACUUAUAGAGAUGAUAUUUGUUUGUUUCAAUAUUAGUUUAAAAUAUCUUUCACGAGUGAACACCAGAUGCAAUAUAUAAAUGUAAGAUAUAGCGUAUUUGAUGGUGAACGAUAUCUUCAUCUUACAUGUAAAACAAACAAUUUUUUUUUCUUUAUUUCAUGUUUUGACUAAAUCUACCCAUUUUAUAGUUUCUUACAAGUGAAAAGAAUAUUUGAUAUUUUUUACUACGAAAAUACAAUAUAUAUCUCAUUUUGAUAUUUCGACUAUUCACUGAGAAACAUAUAAUAAAAUGCCGUUAACAUAUCGUAUCCAACAUAUCGGUUACAUGACUAUUAAAGCUCUCUAGUUAUAUGUUAUAUCAUAGUGUUAUUAUGAUUAAUUAAUUGUAAAUCAUGUGUAUUCGGUGUGUUGUAUAAUUUCUUUUUCUUUUUUAAAUCCCCCGCCACGAGUGUUGGGGGUUAUAGGAAUGGUCUCCGUCCGUCCUUCCGUAACAUUUCGUGUCCACUUUGUAUCUCCUUAACCCCUUGAAAGAUUUUCAUGAAACUUGGGUGAAAUGAUAACCUUAUCAAGACGAUGUGCAGAACCCAUAACCCAGCCAUGUCGGCUCAAGGUCAAGGCCAUAUCUCGAGAUAAAAUGUUUGAGCCUUCCAUUUCAUGUCCGCUUUGUAUCUCCUAAACCCCUUAAAGGAUAAUCAUGAAACUUGGGUCAAAUGAUCACCUUAUUAAGACGAUUUGCGAACCCAUGAGUCAGCUAUUCCGGCUAAAGGUCAAGGUCACAACCAAAGGUCAAAUAUUUGAGCCUUCCAUUUUGUGUCCGCUCUGUAUCUCCUAACCCCUUAAAGGAUAAUCAUGAAACGUGGGUCAAAUGAUCACCUUAUUAAGAUGAUGUGCAGAACCCACGAGUCAGUCAUGUCGGCUCAAGGUCAAGGUCACAACUCAAGCCUUCCAUUUUGUGUCCGCUCUAUAUCUCCUAAAAUCAUGAAACUUGAGACAAAUAAUCAACUUAUCAAGAGCAGAGAUCAUGAAUCAGCCAUGUCGGCUCAAGGUCAAGGUCACAACUCAGGGUCAAAUGUUUGAGCCUUCCAUUUCGUGUCCGCUCUGUAUCUCCUAAACCCCCUGAAGGAAUUUCAAGAAGUUGGAACAAAUGAUCGCCUUAUCAAGACGAUGUGCAGAAUUCAUGAGCCAGCCAUGUUAGCGUAAGGUCAAGGUCACAACUCAGGGUAAAAUGUUGGAGCCUUCCAUUUUGUGUCCGCUCUGUAUGUCCUAAGCCCUUGAAGGAAUUUUAUGAAACUUGGGUCAUUUGAUCAUCUUAUCAAGACGAUGUGCAGAACUCAUGAGUCAACAAUGUUUGGUCAAGGUCACAACUUAAGGUCAAAGUUUGAGAGCUUUCCAUUGUAUGUCUGCUUUGUUUGUCCUAACCCCCUGGAAGGAUUUUAAUAUGACUUGGCUGUAACAUUCCCCUUAUCAAGACAUAUGUGCGGAACUCAAAUUUCACCCCUGCCAGCUUGCCUUAUACCAUCAACCCUUUCACUAUCCAUAACAGUGGCGGGGGAUAUAGCUGUCAUUCAGACUGCCUUGUUUUUACUGCUCAGAUAGCUUAGUGGUAGAGCGCCCGCUUCGAGUGCGGGAGAUAAAGUGUUCGCUCCUGGUUGCGUCCUACCAAAGACGUGAAAAACCAUGCACAAGUCACAAUAUGUAAACAUAGAAAUGCUUGCGGAAAUAUAUAUAUAUAUCUAUAUAUAGCAAACCUAUAUCACGCAUGUACACAAUGACAUUACAGAAGGCUGAUCAACGAGAGAAACAUCAUUAAGGACCUGACGGAAAAAGACAGAAGACAAAUAUCAAAGCAGUUCAUUCCGGCGGGGAGCGAGGGAGAGGGGGCGGGGGUUAAGGACUGCCUAUCAUGUAGUAGUUUGCAUCUGUAAAGGGGUUUUAGAAUCAAACAUGCGGUCUGUCACCAAAGACAAUUAGAAAAAAUAAAAUAAUAUAAUAAAAUUUCAGAAUUGAAUUCAAACCUUAGCUUCAAUGGAAUUCGGUCUUUUGACCGUAGGUUAUUUAGCUGCAACGAUUAUACUAAGGUUUUACGUAGAACUUAAUAACUUAACUAAAGAAUAUUCCGACGGUUUAUCAUAACCCAGAAAUUGAUCAUUAAAUACCUGGUAAGUUACUUGGAAAGAAAACAAAAUUUUAAUCUAGUUUAUAAUCCAUGAAAAGACACUCGAAUAAGUUGUUUAUUGACAGUUGACAGAUUGAAAACUGCGGUUUGACCGGUCGUAAAUUGGGCUUAUUGGACCCACGCCACACCAGAUAGACCAAAUAGGAUCCAGUUAUAUUUUAGAUCAUGCCAUCCAUAGCGUGUUAUUUAUAGGCAAAUAAUAGGCCUACAUACAUGAGAAAAUACACAAAAGCUAAAAUGCAGGGCUUAUUAUACAUUCUAACAUGACCCAAUUUGUUUUCCUAUUAAACAAAGAAGGGAGAAAAUUGUGUGUUCUUAUGCAAUAAUUCAUUUUUCUGACAUCACAAUUAUUACGUCAGAGCGUCAAACGGCAUAGCGGCGCGCUGAAAAAGAAACCAACAGGAAACAGGCAAGUAUUUGAUGGAUGUCGUCAAGGAUGUAUAUGAUAAUUCUUGAUAACGUGUUAGAGUUGAAAUAAUAUAUCUCAAAUAGUGAUUUUCUCUUGAAUAAAAUCAUUUAAGUCGUUUAGAUGCGUAUUAUCAUAUUACUCUGACUGCACAUUUUAACGACAAACAAAGAUUUUAUUCAAUGACAAAUCAAUGUCUGGGAUGUAUUAUUUCUUAAACACAACGAAUAUUUUCUUUCAUAUGUCUACAAAGUUCCAAUGACGACGACUUAAGUUGGCAAUACUAUUUCGCAGUUUAACACAAUUCAUUUUAUUUAUAUAAUCUGCGUAGAUCUAUUCAGUAUUUCAAAUGUCAAUUUAAGUUCAAAGAUAUGUGUUAUGCAUGUCUUGUCUCCAGUUGCAGAUGUACAGAUCAAAUAAUCUUGUUCGUUAUAUUGGAAUAAACAUUUUAAAUCAACUGAUUCUGGAUAUAACGAUGCAUCAUUAAAACCAGAUUCUCGUAAUAUAUGUUUUACUUUAGAAGCCCAGUUGACUACAUUCUUAUCUCUAUCAGAAUCAUAUCUAAGUGAGCUAAAUACAGUUGUUAACAGUCUAACCUCCCUAAACGUCACCUCCCGUGAGCGUCAUUCUCUUUACAACGGCAUUUUUAUUCCCCCAUUACAAUUCAACGCUAUUUGACACCUCAACACACCGGCACUAAAAUUUCUUCCCAACGACACAUGAAAACCGUUAAAUAAACAAAAAUUUGGGGUCCCUGUGUUUUCAAAAAUUAACUCGCAUGAUUUUCAAAUUUCCAUGAAAUCUAAAAAUAAACCGGAAACUAUUUACCAUCUGGUUCUCUGUAUGCUGCGGUAUUAUAUACUGUUUGCACUGAAUGGGGGAACCACACAAAAUGGCGUCCAUUUUUGUUGAUCAAAGAGAAAAGCCGACUUUGUUGGAGAAAACUUAAAAUUUUAGCGGAUAAUCCUGAGAAUACGGAUCCUGGAUCUAAAUGCAGUCCACAACCGCUGGUUGAGCCACAAGAAUGCACUCCAAUCCAUUAGAAAACUCUACUCACCCAUCAGAACGCUGACGCUAAUGGUCGCGAUAAGAAUCUUGGAGAGGAAUCCGACGUGCUGUUCGAGUGGAACGACCUCAAGGAGAAAUUCCGCAGUGUGCUGCCCUCGUGCACACCAGGCUACAUGCUCCAUGAGAAAAGGGAAACCACUGGCGUCAUCAACCCAUUGUUAAGCAAGCUGUUCUUUGUUCACCUGACCAUCAUCCUGUCCACUGCUCCUGUAUAGCGGGUGUUCUCACAUGUUCAGCUGAUUGUAAGCAAUCACAUGAACAGGUACAUGUAAACACAUCAAAUAAACUGCUCCUAGUCAAACUGAACACAAAGGGUGCUAGUGAUAUUGACAUGAAAAAGGUAGUGAAAAAGUUCCUCAAGAAAAACAGAUGCCUAAUAUAGAAUGAGACUGACUUACAGGCUAGUGUCUGUGGUUUGUGUUUAUGUGUGACACUAUUCAGACUGUCCUUACAGACUGUCCUAACAUGAAUGUUAAAAUAAAAAAUUAAAAACUGUAUUCCAAGACUAAGUGAAAAAGCUUAUAGCAUUGACAAAAAUAAGACACUGAUCAUGUCAUGGUUUCUUAAUGGUUGUUUUUCUAUUUUCAUAAAAGUAUACCAGCUCAUUUAUUUAAAUGAAUAUUUAGAAGUAAAUAAACUGUAUUUUUGAAUAUGUGUUAUGCUUAACAUCCUAUUUGCUGAGGUGCCAUGAAAUGCUCUUUAAUGGACGGCGACGCGCAAAAUAGUGCCCCAGAGGGCAGCGCGCAAAAAAUGACAUUUUUUUUCAGAAAACGCCAUUCCCCUAAAGUAGUCUGGAAAAAAACAA